rnacentral:rRNA from 1 species
GACGAACGCUGGCGGCGUGCUUAACACAUGCAAGUCGAACGGAAAGGCCCUGCUUUUGUGGGGUGCUCGAGUGGCGAACGGGUGAGUAACACGUGAGUAACCUGCCCUUGACUUUGGGAUAACUUCAGGAAACUGGGGCUAAUACCGGAUAGGAGCUCCUGCUGCAUGGUGGGGGUUGGAAAGUUUCGGCGGUUGGGGAUGGACUCGCGGCUUAUCAGCUUGUUGGUGGGGUAGUGGCUUACCAAGGCUUUGACGGGUAGCCGGCCUGAGAGGGUGACCGGCCACAUUGGGAAUGAGAUACGGCCCAGACUCCUACGGGAGGCAGCAGUGGGGAAUAUUGCACAAUGGGCGGAAGCCUGAUGCAGCAACGCCGCGUGCGGGAUGACGGCCUUCGGGUUGUAAACCGCUUGCGCCUGUGACGAAGCGUGAGUGACGAUAAUGGGUAAAGAAGAACCGGCUAACUACGUG